rnacentral:rRNA from 1 species
AGCGCAAACGCUGGCGGCAGGCCUAACACAUGCAAGUCGAGCGCUCAUCUUCGGAUGGGAGCGGCGCACACGGGUGAGUAACACGUGGGAACCUACCUUGAAGUAUGGAAUAACUGAGGGAAACUUCAUUGCUAAUACCGUAUACGCCCUACGGGGGAAAGAUUUAUCGCUUCAAGACGGGCCCGCGUUGAAGAUUAGCUAGUUGGUGAGGUAAUGGCUCACCAAGGCGACGAUCCAUAGCUGAUUUGAGAGCAAAUGAUCAGCCACACUGGGACUGAGACACGGCCCAGACUCCUACGGGAGGCAGCAGUGGGAAGAAUAUUGGACAAUGGGCGCAAGCCUGAUCCAGCCAUGCCGCGUGAGUGAUGAAGGCCUUGACGGGUUGUAAAGCUCUUUCAGAUGGGACGAUGAUGACGGUACCAUCAGAAGAAGCCCCGGGCCUAACUUCGUGCCAGCAGCCGCGGUAAUACGAAGGGGGCUAGCGUUGUUCGGAAUUACUGUAGGCGUAAAGCGCGCGUAGGCGGCUUUGUCAGUCAGGGGUGAAAUCCCGGGGCUUAACCUCACGGAACUGCCUUUGAUACUGCAAGGCUUGAGUCUGUGAGAGGAUGGUGGAAUACCCAGUGUCAAGAGGUGAAAUUCGU